rnacentral:snRNA from 1 species
AGCUUUGCGCAGUGGCAGCAUUGUCGUCAAUGAGGUUUAUCCGAGGCGCGAUUAUUGCUAAUUGAAAAUCAUGCCUUCAACUCAGAUCUUAUAGGUUAUCACAAAUCUCAAGUUUAUCUGGGGCCCUAAUUAAUGAUGCUUGUAGCACAA